rfam:Parcubacteria bacterium GW2011_GWA2_49_16 TY42_C0020, whole genome shotgun sequence.
AUAUCACAGCAACGCUGUGAUAUGCACAUGAGAAGUCAGCUACGUCGUAGUAGUCCCGGCGAAAUGUCGGGAUGAAGGAC